rnacentral:piRNA from 1 species
GUUGAGAGCAAGGAUAUCAGAAC